GUUAAUGAACCUAACUCUACACGUGCUGUCAAAACCUUACUGGCAGGCUUAACGUUUAUUGACGGGCUCGAGUUGCAUUCCUGAAGCUUUUAACGGCACAUUAACAACUCGCUGUGCCUUGAUGCUGAGAGUUAUGCGUGAGAAACGAUCUCAUUUCCCUGGAAGGAUUUGAAUUUGAAAGAAAUCUAAUGCCAAAUUGACACAUCAUUUCAAGAGAGGUAAUGUAGAUGCGAUGCGAUUAUGUGACCUGACUAACCUUCAAAGGCGUAAUAAUGGACGCUCGAAUAUGAAGAAUUUUGUAACCCUUAUAAACCUGCUAUUUUUAAUAAUUCUUCACCACACUCGAGACAACGAAAUCAUUUUGCAGUAUUAUUCAUUUUUGGUCUUUCUAAAGGAUGUUCCACUGUCAGAGUCCACUGUGCUGUGCGGGGCCGUCUUGUUCCUUUAUUUAUUUAUAUAUUUUUUGAUAACAUGGGCGAAAAACAUAAAGCAUUGUUAUAUUAUCUGCCUCUGAUUGAGUUUAGACGGCAGCUUCAUAUCUGCCCUGAGCCCGAAGAACACAUUCUACACAUUCCAUACUGGUCCCAACGUGAAAACUGCACUGCUGACACAAUAGAUAUAAUACACUUAGCCCUCCUCUCAGGACAGUGGAACACGAUUAAAGCCUCCGUCUUCAUUUCUCUUUCUCACUCCGUCUCCCACACACACACAUAAAUAGACGCGCACAAUCCAUCAUCUUUUCUUCUCUUUGAUUCCGUUAAGCGAGUGGGGAUUCCGUCCGGCUCAGACUAAUUACUCAUCUGCCCGUAUUGUAAUUCUCAUUUCAAUUUAAGGGGUGGACCAACAAAGAGCAGGAAGAUGGUCUAAAACUGACUCAUUCACGAGUCUAAUUAACCGAUGUACGUAUAGCUCUUCGGCGCUGUCACAGGGCCGCAUCUGCAACGGCGGCAACGUGAGAUGGGAAAAGGUGCAGAGUCCGGAAAGACGUGUCUUCCACUUCAUCACACAGCCGCGCGCAGAUGGCUUGAUGAUGAUGAUGAUGAUGUAGGUGAUGAGGAUUUUAAUUUUCAAACCUUUAUCGAUCCGGACGAGACUGACUGCAUGAUGAUGACGGCGGUGAAUUCAUCUCGGCGUUCUUGCUAUUGAUCUGGGAGCCAGAGGAAAUGGGAAGGAGUGGUGCUGGUUACAUUUUAAACACUAACGUUUGGUGUGAUCCAUGCUGAACUCUACAUAUUGAUCUGAUGGAGUGACUGUAGAGGGAAGGGGAGGAGAAAAGGGAGGAAGGAGAAGGUCAUCAGCGUGUGAUCUAUCGAGGGCUCUCCCUCUGGAUGUGAUGAAUGGAUAGACAGUGGGGGAAAAUGGAAGGAAUAUUGAAGUUGGUUGUGAAAUUUGUACAUAUUGAAUGCAACAUUAGCUUUUAUUUAGCUAUAACUCAAUACAAUUUUGGACACUGUGGCAACAGGGACAUGUUUUAGCUUUAUUACAAGGGACAGUUUUAUUAUAUUGUUGAAUGAUCUUUAAAGUCAUGCCAAACGAUAACAGGUCAGCAAAUGUCCCAAGACACCGUGUUUAGGUUUAAAUGACAUCAUUCUUUGAUGGUGGGAGCAAAGAUGAUGCAAUCGAGUCACAAACCUUGAAAUGGGGACUUAACACAGACUUAACAAGGUUUGUUAUUGUAGGCAUCACAACAACAGCUCUCAGACUUUAACUUAACCCAAGUCUUGACCUCAGGAGUUAUUCCUUACAUGAUUUCUUACAGCGGUAUAUCUUGUUUUAUUACUUGCAGUAAC